UACGUAGGGGGCAAGCGUUGUCCGGAUUUAUUGGGCGUAAAGCGCUCGCAGGUGGUCCGCUGCGUCGUGCGUGAAAGACCCCGGCUCAACUGGGGGAUGUCGUGCGAUACGGGCGGACUGGAGGCCAGUAGGGGGAUGCGGAAUUCCGGGUGUAGCGGUGGAAUGCGCAGAUAUCAGGAGGAACACCGAUGGCGAAGGCAGCUCGCUGGGACGGUACUGACGCUGAGGCGCGAAAGCGUGGGGAGCGAACAGG
rnacentral:rRNA from 1 species